ensembl:snRNA U4 U4 spliceosomal RNA
AGCUUUGCCCAGUGGCAGUAUCGUAGCCAAUGAAGUUUAUCCCAGGUGCAAUUAUUGCUAAUUGAAAACUUUUCCCAAUACCCCGCCAUGACAACUUGAAAUACAGUCAGUGUUGGCAACUUUGAGCAGACUCUAAGGGGA